rnacentral:rRNA from 1 species
UACGUAGGAGGCAAGCGUUGUCCGGAUUUACUGGGCGUAAAGAGCGUGUAGGCGGUUGGGCAAGUCUGCUGUGAAAUCUCCAGGCUCAACUUGGAGGGGUCAGUGGAAACUGCCAAACUUGAGGACGGUAGAGGGGGGUGGAAUUCCCGGUGUAGUGGUGAAAUGCGUAGAGAUUGGGAAGAACACCAGUGGCGAAGGCGGCUAUCUGGACGGUUUCUGACACUAAGACUCGAAAGCGUGGGGAGCAAACAGG